CCCAGUGCAAAGCAAGAAUCACAUAUCCAUAAAAGGACGCAAAGAUGUCGGUCUCCUUGGAUGAGAAAUAGUUCAGCAGAAGGUGGCAGGCGCCGAGCUAGAAGACUAUCUAAACUGCAAACAGACACAAAACGGGCACAAGCAGCUAGAGAUGUGGAGGCUCUUUGAAGAAAAAGAAAAUCAAGUUGGGAGAAGCUGCUUGGGAAGGAGGGAGGAAGUCUUAAAUACAGGCUUACAGCACAAUGGGAGAACCCCGGAGGGCAGAAGUUCGCUACCGAUGUUCUACAAUCUUGCAUCCAAGCUGCUAACGCCCAUCAUACAGGAUACACAGACAAGGAACCUCCCCCAAGCACCCAGGAGGGUGGAACCCAGGAGGGAAUUACCAUAGGGAGGAUAUCAAGGUCAAGGUCCAGUCUUAUUACUUGUGGUCUGGAAUUGUCAAUGUAAACUGGUGUGAAGGCCUAGACUUGAUUUUACAGACUCUACCUUAGGGAAAGGGCAACAUCUCAGACCACCUGCUGUACUCAGUUCCAGGAAGGACCUCAGGAAUGUGCCGUGACAACUCAAGUGGAUACAGAGUAGUACCCUCCUGCAGACAUCCUGUCUGUGGUUUAUGGCCCUUGAAGAUACCUAGAUAAUCCUGCUGAUCAGUCCAGAUAAUCCUGUUUAGUGGGUUGUGGUUCCCUGCCAAAAAGUCUAACCCAAUGGUUUCAAAUGUGGUUUCACACCGAAAGUCUAGACCAAUAGUUUUUAAAAAAAUCCCCUUGCCCCAUAUCCCUUCUACCCAAUCCUAAGUUGCCAAUUCCUGGCUUGUGGUCUUUCCCUAUAAAAACUCUCUACACCUGGGCCGUGGCCACCGUCACAUUUCUUUCCAUCUGCUGUGCGAUGACCCAGGUUGAACCUGAAUAAAAGGACCUUUAUGUGCUUGCAUCAGAAA